rnacentral:rRNA from 1 species
GUGGAGCGGUGAAAGGCUCAGUAACGGGCGAUUUAUUUAAUCUCCUGGGACGGACAACAUCGGGAAACUGAUGGGAAAACGUCUAAGUUGCAGUUUUGUUAUUGCGACGUAAACGGUAAUCGUGCAGGAGAGUAAGAUGCCAUCCUAUCAGUUAGUAAGUAGGGUAAGGGCCUACUUAGACGAAGACGGGUACGGGGAAUGAGGGUUUGAUUCCGGAGAGGGAGCCUGAGAGAUGGCUACCAGGACCAAGGUCAGCAGCAGGCGCGAAAAUUAUCGAAGCCCGCCUAGGGGCGAUAGUGAGGAGACGUGUAUUCGAAGUACGUGUAAAGAACGUACUAAUAACUGGAGGUCAAGUCUGGUGCCAGCAUCCGCGGUAAUUCCAGCUCCAGGGGUGUCUAUGAUGAUUGCUGCGAUUAAAAAGUCCGUAGUCAAGCUGACUGACUGACCUGCAAUGUGAUUGAUUAAAGAACGAGCAGGGUUAGGAAAGCAGAGAAUUAGGAGCGACCGAGGGCUAGAGUAUUGAAUGGCGAGAGGUGAAAUUUGAUGACCCAUUCAGGAGUGACAAAGGCGAAGGCACUAGUCAAGGGCGAAUCCGAUGAUCAAGGACGUAGGCUAGAGUUUCGAAAACGAUUAGAGACCGGAGUAGUUCUAGCAGUAAACUAUGCCGACGCCGUGAUAUUGUUUUUUGUGGCGGUAUUGCGGAAGAGAAAUCAAGUAAGGCUUUGGGGAGAGUACGCGCGCAAGCGAUAAAUUUAAAGGAAAUUGACGGAGGAACACCACAAGGAGUGGAGUGUGCGGCUUAAUUUGACUCAACGCGGGACAGCUUACCAGGCCCGAUAAUCGAGCGAGCGUAGUACGCGAUAGAUUAAAGAGUGGUGCAUGGCUGCUAUCGACAGUUGGGGUGACCUUAGGGUUAAUUCCGGCAAGUAGUGAGACCCCUGCAGAUAGUGGACAGGUAUUUUUCAAAAUACAGGAAGGAAGGGACAAGAGCAGGUCAGUGAUGCCCUUAGAUGGCCUGGGCUGCACGCGCACUACAGUGGUCAUUAUAAGUAGAAGUUAGAUAUAAAGAUGAUCGAGAGGGACU